rnacentral:lncRNA from 1 species
CGGGGAUGGGCCUCGGCGGAGGAGGAGGUGAUGCCCUCGACGGAGGUGAUCGUCGAUCAACUAGACCGUGCUUCUACACAAAUAACAUUACAAAUUAUUAACUUAAUUAAUAAUUGCUAACUCAUAAAAACGUUAAUCAAUAAAUUAUAUAAAAUUCAUGCACCUCCCGCACCAGCUCUCGACCUUCGUCCUCCAUCGAUGGCGUCAACUCAGUUAUGACCUGAACCUGACAUUAUGUUUUCAACUCAGUUAAUGAUUGCGUAAUGAGAUUUUAAACUAGCCCACAAUAUAAACUACAAAGUACAUAAUACUCACAUGAAGGUCAUCAAGAAGAGUCGAUAACUGUUUCGCAGAUGGACACCUGUCCGCUCGAGAUGCUCACCAGUGAUGCAUUCGAAGGCAUCGUGUCUCCAG